rnacentral:misc_RNA from 1 species
UUGUGGAGGAGGACGCCGAAGGUGGGGCUAAUGACUGGGGUGAAGUCGUAACAAGGUAGCCGUACCGGAAGGUGCGGCUGGAUCACCUCCUAACAGGGAGACAACAAAAUGUUUAAUAUUGAUUUUGUCACCUUAGGUCGAUCGGUAUCUCAGAUUUUUAAUUCACUUAAAAAUUUCAGUUUCUAAGUUUUUUCUAGGUCACACCCAUUACUUUUUCCUGGGCCAUUAGCUCAGGUGGUUAGAGCGCACCCCUGAUAAGGGUGAGGUCCCUGGUUCAAGUCCAGGAUGGCCCAUAUCUCUAUGUUGGGGGUAUAGCUCAGUUGGUAGAGCGCCUGCUUUGCAAGCAGGAUGUCAGCGGUUCGAGUCCGCUUACCUCCACUGAAUACCACCUCUUAGAUUUUAAUAAUGAGGAAAAUUGUUUUGUUUGGUGUCUUCCUAUUUUUCUGAUCGAUUCUAGCUUCCUAUUUUUAUUUAAAAUAAGAUGCUGGACUCAUUGAAUUUACUUUCAUUGUUUUCAGAGAACCUUGACAACUGCAUAGAUUAUUUUUGAAGACAAUUAGCAUCUUUAGUGAUGCAGAUUUAUUAUUUGUGCUAAUGCAUUAAAUAACAAUUCUAUUAAGCUGAUGCUUCAAUUUUUGAAGUUAUUGGUCAAGCUACAA